CAUCACCAACUUCAUCAAUCCCCUAGUCUCAUAACUGUAUCCUGAUUUACCUAGACCUAAAGGAUCAAGACAUAAUGGGAGCAUUUUUAGACAAGCCAAAGAUGGAAAAACAUAAUGCCCAGGGGCAGGGUAAUGGGUUGCGAUAUGGGCUAAGCAGCAUGCAAGGCUGGCGAGUUGAAAUGGAGGAUGCACAUACAGCUGUGAUUGGUUUGCCAAGCGGACUUGAAACAUGGUCAUUCUUUGCUGUGUAUGAUGGGCAUGCUGGUUCUCAGGUUGCCAAAUACUGCUGUGAGCAUUUGUUAGAUCACAUCACCAAUAACCAGGAUUUUAAAGGGUCUGCAGGAGCACCUUCUGUUGAAAAUGUAAAGAAUGGAAUCAGAACAGGUUUUCUGGAGAUUGAUGAACACAUGAGAGUUAUGUCAGAGAAGAAACAUGGUGCAGAUAGAAGUGGGUCAACAGCUGUGGGUGUCUUAAUUUCUCCUCACCAUACUUACUUCAUUAACUGUGGAGACUCGAGAGGUUUACUUUGUAGGAACAGAAAAGUUUAUUUCUUCACACAAGAUCACAAACCAAAUAAUCCGCUGGAAAAAGAACGGAUUCAGAAUGCAGGUGGCUCUGUAAUGAUUCAGCGUGUGAAUGGCUCUCUGGCUGUAUCGAGGGCACUUGGGGACUUUGAUUACAAAUGUGUCCAUGGAAAAGGUCCUACAGAGCAGCUUGUCUCACCAGAGCCUGAAGUCCAUGAUAUUGAAAGAUCUGAAGAAGAUGAUCAGUUCAUUAUCCUUGCAUGUGAUGGUAUUUGGGAUGUUAUGGGAAAUGAAGAGCUCUGUGAUUUUGUAAGAUCCAGACUUGAAGUCACUGAUGACCUUGAGAAAGUUUGCAAUGAAGUAGUCGACACGUGUUUGUAUAAGGGAAGUCGAGACAACAUGAGUGUGAUAUUGAUCUGUUUCCCAAAUGCACCCAAAGUAUUGCCAGAAGCAGUGAAGAAGGAGGCAGAGUUGGACAAGUACCUGGAAAGCAGAGUAGAAGAAAUCAUAAAGAAGCAGGGGGAAGGCGUCCCUGACUUAGUCCAUGUGAUGCGCACAUUAGCAAGUGAGAACAUCCCCAGCCUCCCACCAGGAGGUGAAUUGGCAAGCAAGCGGAAUAUAAUUGAAGCCGUUUACAAUAGACUGAAUCCUUACAAAAAUGAUGACACUAGUUGUUCACUGCACCCAUUCUUUUACACACACCCCUGAUUGAUUGCUCUGAACUCUGCCUGCACCACAGUUCUAGUGAUUGAGGACAUAAUCAUGGACUCUACAUCGACUGAUGAUAUGUGGUAAAACUGCUCAUCUAGCCAUGGAGUUUAUCUUCACCUCCAAAGGAGAGUACAGCUCAACUUCAUUGAACCUUUUAACAUUCAUCCUCAUCUUUAAAGAAGGGCAUAUGACAUGGGUGAGAGUGAUUACACCAGAGAACUUCAGCAGUACAACAGCUAGCCCAGAACUGAUUUUCUUUUUUUGUAAAUUUGAGACUUAUGUAAACGUGAUUUUAAAUCAUAAUUCAUGUUGUAAAUCAGACUCCAGCAAUUUUUGUUGUAUGAUUUUGUUUUUUGUAAAGUGUAACUGUCCUUGUACAAAAUGCUCAUAUUUAAUUAUGAACUGCUUUAAAUCAUUAUCAAAGUUAUAAGAAAUGUUUGGCUUGUUGUGUGACGCAACAGAUAUAUAGAUCUUUCAAGUCAUGUUGUGUUUGGACUUGGGGUUGGGACAGAGAGAGCAGCAGCCAUGUCAGCUAGACGCUCAACUGUGCACAUGAUUAUGGAGAAAAAUUCCAAAAUCUUAUAAAGCCGAGCAUCCAGGGAGUUAAUUAGAAACUAUCUUAAUGUUCUUGGCAGUGGGGUUGGCAUUGUUGAUAAAGCUGGUCCCUUCACUUAAUUGUCUCUAAGUUGUUCUCUACUUGUUGCCAUGAGUAUUGCAGGUUAUACAGUAUAUUCAUAAGAAUAUCAGUCUUGGGGCUAAAAUGCCUUGAUUCUUUGCACCUCUUUUACAAGUCCUUACAUUUAAUUAUUAAUUGAUAAGCAGCAGCUUCCUACAGAUAGUAGGAGACUGCCACAUUUUGCUGUCAUGAUUGGCUGGGCCUGCUGCUGUUCCUAGUAAGAUAUUCUGAAUUCCAUUUUAUCAAUAAAGCUUGAUUUAACGAACAAGAAAUUUAAUCAUGUAUGUGUAAUUCCUCCUUUACCUUGCCCUUUUAAAACACCAUGCCAUUGUAAAUGAGAAGUUUCUAUGGGAAAAGAUGUUAGUCUCUUUUAAUUGGAACAUCCUGUUACUCAAGGCAUAGAGGGAACUGUUUCUUUUCCAUUAGCAAGACUAAAAGAUUUAAGUCUCUGUUGUUCCUUAAUCUAUUUUUUAAAUGGGUUUCUUUCUGGCUGCUUAUUUUUCAUUAAGAUAUGUAUCAGCUCGAAUUUGCCUACUGUUUAAUUAAAAUAAUUGUCAGAGCUUGACAAUCUAACAUUCUGUGGUAGGUGUGUGUGUUUGUGAGUGUGUUUGCCUGUGAUUUUUAAUUGGCCCAUGUCUUUAGAAUCCAAGUAGUUAAGAUGUAUUUGUGAUUUGAAAUAUAGCAUGUUGAUAAUAUUUAGCUGUUGGCCUUUAAAAAUAAGUCAAAGUUUAAAGAACUGUAGAUAUAAAAAAAAACUAAUUUAAUUUAGGCUUAAAUUCCUCUGAUUAAGCAUGUGAAAGUAAGUUUUAAAAUCUGUCACAUUGAAAAGACUACUGUUCUGUGCCCUUCUGUAUUUUUUGUCUCUUUAGGUUGAAUAUUGUAUUUAUACCAUGUAAUUUAAUCAUUCAGUAGGCAGAUUCCCCACUAGAAAAAUAUUAAAAUACAUUUGAAUACAAGGUCAAAACUUUGUGUAUAAAAGGUAAUAUAACUAGUUUCCUUUUGUUUUUACAUAAUUUGAAAAUAUACAUAUUUGUAUAUAUAGCCUUAAAACUAAUCUAAAGGUAGGGGAAUAGUGGGAAAAGUGAUGUGAAAUGUCUCAGAUUUAAGUAGUUACAUACCAACAAAAUCUUUUCAUUAUCCCUCUUAUUCAUGAGGUGAUUAAAUGUAACUUAACUGUAUUUAAUUUAUAUUUUAAUCUAGCAUGAAUUAAGAAAAACAAGUACUAUUUAUAUUUAGAAAUUCAUAACAAUUGGAAUUACAGAACCAAUUCCAUACUUAACUUACAAAUAAAUGCUUAAUGUCUAAAAUCUGUGGUAAAGUGCGAAGUAUGAUAAUGUUUUAAGUUAUGGCUUUGCAAGCAUCUAAAUGUGCAUUUUAUGAAUAGCAGUGCUUGUAGUAUAGAUUGAUUACCAGACAUACUGGUACUGAAAACUAAAUCCCUAUUUCAAGAAGCCAGGUCCUUAAUUUUUUUAAGUAGACUCAGUUUUUAGUUCUGGAAACUUCAAUUAGUUUUUGAAAUGAAAAAUCUUAAAUCACAAGUAAGAUAUAUGAUAGAAAGCUAUAUUUUAAACCAUAACAGCAUAUGUAGAGCCUUUUUAAAUUUAAGGAUCUUUAAAUGAAAAAAAUCAAAAUAUUCCUCUGUUAAAGUUACUAGUACUGAAAUUAGGCUUGGAAGUGAGAGAAAACUGUAUGAAGCGUGAUCUGAGAAAACUAAAUCUUUUCUACAUGAGUCAGCAUUGCCAUAUUAGGUAUAGUUUUUCAUUAUUAAAAUACAGGAAGAAAAUAUACAUUGUAACAGCAAACUGUGUUCUUCAUUCCUGGGGGUAAUGGUGGUUGUAGGGAACCAACCACACUUUUAAAAGGCACUUUUGCACCUCUGUUGUGCACUUCAUUUUUGUACCACUUAAAUUCUUGACCUCCCGCCCCCUUUUGUGUGCUAAUUAAUUAGCAUCUCAGGGCAAUGCCUCAAAAUUUGUUUGAUGUGUUGUAUGUUAUUUUCUUUGGAGGGAAAAAGUUCAUGUGUGAUGAUAAUAUACUAUUCAACAUGUGUUUUCGCUUAAAUGUUUUAAUAGGAUGAACCCACUUUGCUGCUUUUAGUGGGAGAUUCAUUUUGUAUAGCAGACUCUUGUUACCCUAACAUUAAAGAAUUUCACUGAUCUCUUAUUGUUUUAGCAAGGUAAACUCUUAAUUUCUACUUUCUUAGGGAAUAUACUUUUACAGAUAACAAAAGCAGGUCUUAAUAUUAGUGUUAACUUUUGAAAAUCCUAGAGGUAUUUUUCUUACCCAGCUUUAGAACUAUUUGAAACAUAUUUUUAAUUAUAAAGCAUUAACUUGCUUCUAGAGUACUAUGCAAUGAGUGUACUGCUUCGCCGCUAAUUUUUUUAAAAAAACUAACUUAAUAACCAAUUUGGGUCAAAGAAUAAAUCAAGUAUGUAAUUCAGAUGCUCUGAAUUAUAGCAGUACUUUUAGUGAUCAUCUAUUGACCAAUUAAUAACUCAGCUUUUCGACAAAAUGUUUUGAGUAGUUAUCUGCAAAAUACUGUGCUAGACAAAACAUCUUGUACUAUAAAGAAAUGAAUAAAUAGGUCCUUGCCCUCAAGGAGUUUACAUUUGAGUAGAAUUUACAACCUAAUAUAUGUUAAUAAAACUGGGUCACUCAUCCAAAAAAAUAGUUAAUGUCCACCUACUGUCUGCCAGAUAAUUUCCUGAACACACAGGUCUCUACCCUAAGCAGCUGAUUUGUACUUCCUUUAUUCACUUAAAAAUCUGUUUAUUUUCUCCACAAAGUUAAAAAUCUCAUUCAAAAGAAAAUUUUGCUCAGCAUAGGAAUAAGGUUGGACUGAUGAAGCUCAAGUCUAUUCAGUAUGCUUGACUGCCUUGAACAGAUAGCCUUUACUCUCCUGCUGAGAGCAGCAAGUCAGAGAAAAGGGUAAUGGAUUUCAUAGCACUCUGCAAUCCUGGAAAUUUUGGUGGAUUUUGAAAUUUUAGCUAAAAUAUAUAUAUUUAGCUAAAUUUAUCUUAUUUAAGUAAAACACUGUUCUUUACUUGAAAACAUAUUGCCAGUGCUAAUAUCUAAUUUUAGUUAAAUGAUUACUAUGUGUUUUAAUUUUUAAAAAUAACUUCACUGCCUAUUUUUAUUGGACAAAUUCAUAUGGGAAUUCAGUUUGUGAUUUCUGAAAGAAAUGAUUAAAUUGGUUAAGGGUUUUCUCUUUUGUUUUAAUUUUGAAUUUCAUGAUGUAUAUGCUUUUAAUUCAUAAAGUUUGAGUGAAAGGUUUAAGCCUUUUAAUGUUUUAGUUGCUAUUUGUACAGUUUUAUGUUAGGAUUUGGUAUUAGAAAAUACUCUGUAAAUAUUUCAGGAUAUAAAUGUCACUCAUUUGAGGUCUAAGGAACUUUAAAGAGUUUCAUAUACUUUUGCUUGCAGAUCCUGCUGGUGAGGUGACCAUUUUUUAAUUGAGUCAUCUAGUCUUUUCAUUAGUAAGGGUUUUCUUGUGGGUUUGUUUGUUUGUUUUUAGGAUUUAGGAAGACUUCUUUAUAGCUUAAAAUUUUAGAAGCCUUAUUUUACUUUAUUGCUUUCAAUAAUGUGUCAUGAGUUUUGAAUUGUAUUUGUUUUAAAUUAAACAUUACUUCAGAA